UAAUACGCCGAAAGGGGUACGUAAUACCGGAUAUUCUUGCUUUUCAUAAGUUAUGCAAGCAAAGGUGGCCUCUGCAGUAUGCUACUGCAUGAAGAGGGGUCUGCGUACCAUUAGCUAGUAGGUGGGGUAAUGGCCUACCUAGGCGACGAUGGUUAGCGGGUCUGAGAGGAUGAUCCGCCACACUGGCACUGGAACACGGGCCAGACUCCUACGGGAGGCAGCAGUGAGGAAUAUUGCGCAAUGGGGGAAACCCUGACGCAGCGACGCCGCGUGAGUUAGGAGGAAAGGUCCUUCGGGUCGUAAAGCUCUGUCUAAGAAGGAAAGAAGUGUACAAUGGCUAAUACCUGUUGUAUUUGACGGUACCUCUAAAGGAAGCACCGGCUAACUCCGUGCCAGCCGCCGC
rnacentral:rRNA from 1 species